rnacentral:rRNA from 1 species
UACAGAGGGUGCAAGCGUUAAUCGGAUUUACUGGGCGUAAAGCGUGCGUAGGCGGCUCGCUAAGUCGGUUGUGAAAUCCCUGGGCUUAACCUGGGAACUGCAGUCGAUACUGGCGGACUAGAGUACGGUAGAGGGUGGCGGAACUCCGGGUGUAGCGGUGGAAUGCGCAGAUAUCAGGAAGAACACCGGUGGCGAAGGCGGCUCUCUGGGCCUUACCUGACGCUGAGGAGCGAAAGCGUGGGGAGCGAACAGG